GGUCGGAGUGAUCGGUCCGCCUCAUUCGGGGUGUGUACUUGUGUCGCCUCCAGCCAUCCUUGAGGAGAACUGUUCUGGCAUUGAGUUGUUGGGGCAGGGAACCUCAUCUUUUACUGUGAAAAAAUUAGAGUGUUUAAAGCAGGCUUACGCCGUUGAAUACAUUAGCAUGGAAUAAUAAGAUAGGACUUUGGUGGUCUAUUUUGUUGGUUUGCACACCAAGGUA
rnacentral:rRNA from 1 species